rnacentral:rRNA from 1 species
UACGUAGGGUGCAAGCGUUAUCCGGAAUUAUUGGGCGUAAAGAGCUCGUAGGCGGUCUGUCGCGUCUGCUGUGAAAUCUGGGGGCUCAACCCCCAGCCUGCAGUGGGUACGGGCAGACUAGAGUGCGGUAGGGGAGAUUGGAACUCCUGGUGUAGUGGUGGAAUGCGCAGAUAUCAGGAAGAACACCGAUGGCGAAGGCAGAUCUCUGGGCCGUAACUGACGCUGAGGAGCGAAAGCAUGGGGAGCGAACAGG